AUUGAACGCUGGCGGCGUGCUUAACACAUGCAAGUCGAGCGAUGAAGUUCCUUCGGGAACGGAUUAGCGACGGACGGGUGAGUAACACGUGGGUAACCUGCCUCAUAGAGGGGAAUAGCCUUCCGAAAGGAAGAUUAAUACCGCAUAACAUUGUAGUAUCGCAUGAUACAGCAAUUAAAGGAGCAAUCCGCUAUGAGAUGGACCCGCGUCGCAUUAGCUAGUUGGUGAGGUAACGGCUCACCAAGGCGACGAUGCGUAGCCGACCUGAGAGGGUGAUCGGCCACAUUGGGACUGAGACACGGCCCAGACUCCUACGGGAGGCAGCAGUGGGGAAUAUUGCACAAUGGGGGAAACCCUGAUGCAGCAACGCCGCGUGAGUGAUGACGGUCUUCGGAUUGUAAAACUCUGUCUUCAGGGACGAUAAUGACGGUACCUGGGGAGGAAGCCACGGCUAACUACGUGCCAGCCGCCGCUGUAACAC
rnacentral:rRNA from 1 species